rnacentral:rRNA from 1 species
CCUACGGGUGGCAGCAGUGGGGAAUAUUGGACAAUGGGGGAAACCCUGAUCCAGCGACGCCGCGUGUGUGAAGAAGGCCUGCGGGUUGUAAAGCACUUUUAGUGGGGAUGAAAAGCUCAGGGCUAAUACCUCUGGGUCUUGACCUAACCCACAGAAAAAGCACCGGCUAACUCUGUGCCAGCAGCCGCGGUAAUACAGAGGGUGCAAGCGUUAAUCGGAAUUACUGGGCGUAAAGCGUGCGUAGACGGUUAUGUAAGUCGGGUGUGAAAGCCCCGGGCUCAACCUGGGAAUGCCAUUCGAGACUGCAUAGCUAGGGUGCGGAAGAGGGAAGCGGAAUUUCCGGUGUAGCGGUGAAAUGCGUAGAUAUCGGAAGGAACACCAGUGGCGAAAGCGGCUUCCUGGUCCAGCACCGACGUUCAGGCACGAAAGCGUGGGGAGCAAACAGGAUUAGAUACCCCAGUAGUC